rnacentral:rRNA from 1 species
AACGAACGCUGGCGGCAUGCCUAACACAUGCAAGUCGAACGAUAUCUUCGGGUCUAGUGGCGCACGGGUGCGUAACGCGUGGGAAUCUGCCCUUUGGUUCGGAAUAACAGUUGGAAACGACUGCUAAUACCGGAUGAUGACGAAAGUCCAAAGAUUUAUCGCCAGAGGAUGAGCCCGCGUAGGAUUAGCUAGUUGGUGUGGUAGAGGCGCACCAAGGCGACGAUCCUUAGCUGGUCUGAGAGGAUGAUCAGCCACACUGGGACUGAGACACGGCCCAGACUCCUACGGGAGGCAGCAGUGGGGAAUAUUGGACAAUGGGCGAAAGCCUGAUCCAGCAAUGCCGCGUGAGUGAUGAAGGCCUUAGGGUUGUAAAGCUCUUUUACCCGGGAUGAUAAUGACAGUACCGGGAGAAUAAGCUCCGGCUAACUCCGUGCCAGCCGCCGCAGUAA